rnacentral:tRNA from 1 species
AUUAUGAUAUGAUUUCAAAUAACGCAGGACUUAAAAUCCUGUUCCCGUAAACGGAGUGCGGGUUCGAUUCCCGCUCUGAGUA